CGGUGAAUAGCGCAGUUUGGUGACGCAUCCUGAUUUUAGGAAUAGCGGACCAGAGGGUCGGGGGUUUUCCAAGACCUUGAAUUGGCUUCUUCACCGACCA
rnacentral:tRNA from 1 species